UGUGAGGUAUGUGACAAAUGGUUUACUAUG
rnacentral:piRNA from 1 species